rnacentral:lncRNA from 1 species
UAAUCCUGGAAAGUGAAGCAUCUGAGCUCUGGAUCAUAAAACUGUAGUAGCGUCUGCAGAGGCACUGGAUCUACUACCGUCUUCAAUACUGUCAAGAUAUCUCCAUACCUCCCGACAAAACUCUUCAGUCGAUCGUCUGUCACGAGGCUACCCAACUCAGCUAGCGGAGUCAACGGCUCACGGUGGAAACUGUAGGAACAGGUCUUC